AUACUCUCAUUUCUCUUCAGAUCGUAUAAAUCUUUCACCUUUUACUAAAGAUUUCCGUGGAGAGAAACAAUUAUGAGUUUUAUCUCAAUUUUUUGAGGCCUCACUUUUUGAGCAAGGCU
rnacentral:snRNA from 1 species